UUUUUUUUUUUUUUCGUCUAAAUUUUUCUAUUAUAUUAUACGAUUGAGGAAUACAGGGGUGGAAUACGAUUUUAAUACACAAAGCCGGCGGAAGACAAAGAUAUCCCCGGAAACUAAGCCCAAACGAGGGAAGCAUAAAAAAGAACGGGGCAUAGCCCUCAACAGACGAAACAAAAGGCAACGACUAAAAACAAGACCUCUAAAAAAGAGAUUUGGUGACUUAAACUCCUCUAAACCAAGAUGAUCAAAGCCACUCACAAACAACGCAAGCAACGAAACCUCUUAUAGUGAAUCAAAACUACCUCUCACAUGAAGUGAACCUAGACUUCUAUUCCGGCAAGAACGAACCACGACAAAGAAUUAUAGUUCCACCAAACUUCUUCCGAAAGCGGCGAUGUCGAAAUCAACGACUUUUGAACGCCUAAGUAAAAGCCUUUGAACUGACCAGACCUCGAUCGAGUCUUGAAUGUAGAAACAAGGAGCGAAACCAACCUCAAAAUCGGAAGACACCAUACCCAGAAAAGCACAGCACAAGAUCGAACCGGAGAGACCACCAUAAAGACCAUAAGUAGAAAAGAGGAGCAAAUUCAAACAAAUCCAAUACAAAAGAGAGAACAAGCAAGUCAAAGCCACGCUCCGGACUAGUAACCAAAAUCAGAGAAUUAGGGGCAGUCAAACUUUAGAUCCGGAACAUACGACAUAGGCGUACGAACAAGCCGACGAAAUAGAGCCAACAUAAAGCCAUUCAUCCUCUGAUCCAGCCUAAGUCAACUAUUAAACCACCCGAACAACAACUAAACCAAAUACUUAGUCAACAAGACAAAUGAAGCUAAAGGAGCAGGUUACCGGAGUCAAUGACGCAAAGGAUCAGAAACUGGCGAAGCACACGAAGAAGCAGAUCCACCAACAACCAGAUCGGCGAGAAACUACAACGACGAGGAUACAAAACGACGAAGAUUAGAGCAGAUCCCGGAGCACAUAGACACCAAGGGGCCAGAUCUAAUUCCCCCACAACCAAAAUGACUCGCUGCCACUUUAACCUCGACAACAACCACACAUUGAACAACGGAGAAGACUGAAAAGAGGGCUAACGAAGCAAGGAAAAACCAACAAGAUCGUCUCACAGCUCCGGCGAGGAGCGCCGGAAACCGGAGAGGACAGAUCUAUAAAACGGACGAGACUUUUUCUGUGGCGGCUAGGGCGACUUCGAGAGAGAGAAAAGAAAACGAUACUGGCUACAUUAAAAAUGUGUAUAUGUAACAGCGUGGAAUUUAUUUAUUUAAAUU
rnacentral:lncRNA from 1 species